CCCAGACUCCUACGGGAGGCAGCAGUGAGGAAUAUUGGUCAAUGGUCGGGAGACUGAACCAGCCAAGCCGCGUGAGGGAGGAAGGUACAGAGUAUCGUAAACCUCUUUUGUCAGGGAACAAAGGCGGGGACGUGUCCCCGGAUGAGUGUACCUGAAGAAAAAGCAUCGGCUAACUCCGUGCCAGCAGCCGCGGUAAUACGGAGGAUGCGAGCGUUAUCCGGAUUUAUUGGGUUUAAAGGGUGCGUAGGCGGACAGUCAAGUCAGCGGUAAAAAUGCGGUGCUCAACGCCGUACAGCCGUUGAAACUGGCAGUCUUGAGUGGGCGAGAAGUAUGCGGAAUGCGUGGUGUAGCGGUGAAAUGCAUAGAUAUCACGAAGAACCCCGAUUGCGAAGGCAGCCUGCCGCAGCGUUACUGACGCUGAAGCUCGAAAGCGCGGGUAUCGAACAGGAUUAGAUACCCCAGUA
rnacentral:rRNA from 1 species